CAGGCUCCUCCAUCCAUGGGAUUUUCCAGGCAGGAGUAUUGGAGUGGGGUGCCAUUGCCUUCUCCAAGUUCUUUCUUUAGUUGAAAUUAAAUCUUUCUUCCACAAAAGCCCAUCACUUGGUCCUGAUUCUGCCCUCUGGGAUUCCCAGAAGAAGCAGGAAGGUGACCAUUUUGGGGCCAGGAAGAAAGCUCUCAGCAGAAACCAACCUCGCCAGACCUUGAUCUGAGACUUCUAGACUCUAUAAUGGUGGUGCAGUGGAUGGAAUCCACCUGCCAGUGCAGAGGACAU